rnacentral:rRNA from 1 species
UACGUAGGGUGCGAGCGUUGUCCGGAAUUAUUGGGCGUAAAGGGCUCGUAGGCGGCCAACUAAGUCAUACGUGAAAUCCCUCAGCUUAACUGGGGAACUGCGUGUGAUACUGGAUGGCUUGGAUUUGGGAGAGGGAUGCGGAAUUCCAGGUGUAGCGGUGAAAUGCGUAGAUAUCUGGAGGAACACCGGUGGCGAAGGCGGCGUUCUGGACUGCAACUGACACUGAGGAACGAAAGCCAGGGGAGCAAACGGG